CAUCAUUAUAUAAUUUUUUUUCAUAUUUUUAUUUUUUCUUAUCAUGGGAGAAAUCUUCAAUACUAUAUUAUUCUUUUCUAACAAUAGUAAACUAUGAAAAAGACAAUAUAUGUAUCAAUGUGUCAACUGGUUCAUCCAUGGCCCAUUUGAAUUGACCACACGGUUUACCAUUCUGGACUAUCACUGGUCGAUCUGCAAUGUACAAUGGUCAAAUCAUGUCCAAAAAAACAUCAUGUCCAAAUGGAUAGAUCCAUAUAUACCCAUUUCAAUCUAGUUUUAAAUUUUAUCUAUUUAUUUCAUAAAUUUUAACUUUUGAUAAAAAAAUGUAUUCCAACCAAAACAUAAUAUAAAGUUUUUCUUUAAAACCGUUAAAUAGACUACUGCAAUAGUUUCUGAUUUUCCAAAAACCACUUUUUAUCCAAUCAUGAUGACAAAAUAGAUUUCCUAUUUUUUGAGGGAAUCUGAUUUUUGCUUCCUUUUACUCUUUCUUUCUCAAAAACCAAAAUCUCUAUUCUAUUGGAUUCUCCCUAAGAAAAACUACGUACAAAAACAAAAAAAAAUGAUUUUUUAUUCUUUUUUUUUGUUAACUAAUUUUAGCUAAAUAAUGUACUAUAUAAGACAGAGCUAUUUCACUACAAACACACAAAGCAAAGCAAACGUAAACCUUAAAUAAUGCAUCCAAGUGUCGAGUUUUAGGAAGCUUGCUGAUCAUACACAUUUCGUUUCAAAUCUUCUUCUCUACAUCCAAUCGAGAAGGUAUGGCACACCAAGGACAAUCAUCAAAUGGCAAAGUGGUAUUCCGAGAUCAGCUCAUGAUGCAAAAGUUUUAGCACUAGCUAUGGAGGGACCUCAUCAAUUUCCAACUGCACCUUUUUCGAAAGUAUUAUUUAGGAGAUUCUGGUUAUCCUCUUCGACCUGGAUUGCUUACUUCGUGUAGAGGGGAAAGAUAUCAUCCUAGCCAAUAUGAUGGAGUUAGUCCGCCCAGUAGUUAUAAAGAAAUGUUUAACAAACGACAUUCUUCGCUGCGAUCUGUUAUUGAAAGGACUUUUGGUGUGUGGAAAGGAAAAUGGCGGGUUUUAAGAGAGAAGCCAAGAUACAACAUACAUGUUCAAAGAAGAGUUGAUGCAGCUACAAUGGCUCUACAUAAUUUUAUCAGGCUAUCAAAUUUAGGAGAUGUUGAUUUUGAUUCGGACUAUCCAACUGAUAAUGUAUCAACUGAAGACUCUGAUUCAGAUGAAGACGAAGAACAUAAUAACACUCAUGUGCACUAUAUGGAAAGCAUUCGGAUCAAAUUUCUGCAUCUUUAUGGGAUUCAAGAUAAUUUUUGUUUUAUAUUUGAAUUUUUUUGUUUUAAAAUAUUUUUUUUUAAUUAUGUAUGCUUUGAUGAUAGUAUUUUAUUUUUUAUUUUUCAAUAAUAGAUAUUUUACUAUCAUAGUA